rnacentral:lncRNA from 1 species
CGCGGAAGGAGCCGAGCCUGCCUGGAGCCAGAGCUUCUCGGCUGGCACUGCAGACAAGCAGCUGCUGCCACAGCAAACCACAGAGCAACAAGCAGCCCGCCUUGCGCAAGUACAUAGUUGUAUGUUCUAGUUGUGAGCGCCUCUGGUUGUGCUAUGUGGGACACCGCCUCAACAUGGCCUGAUGAGUGGUGCCAUGUCCACGAGCAGGAUCCAAACUGGCGAAACCCUGGGCCACCGAAGCAGAGCGCGCGAACUUAACCACCACGGGGCCGGCCCGCUGGCGUUUCCAUCUUUGUGCUUCUCAGAGAGCGCAGUCAGCGUGCGUGGCAUUCACCCUGUGCUGCUGUAGCUCCUGAAGACACGAUGAUGAGAAAAACAGGCGUGGUCCCCACCCUCGCAGAGCCUCCUUUCCUGAGGGGAAGAUGCAGAUGUGGGAAACCAGGGAAAGCGGAGAAAUGGCAUCUCAACCAUUCUGUGGAGGAGAAGAGAGGGAAGUUCACUGGACAAAGGACCGCUGGAAGCAGGCAGAAGGGGCACGGACUCCACGUGGAGGAGCAGCGUCUCGGACGCCCUCGAACCGCCCUUCCUGUGUCCAUGCCUGGGAGCUAGAAGCCGGCCACCAGUGCACGUGACUUGAGAAAGAGCCCACGGCGGUAAAGAGUGUGGAGCAUCUGCCAGAACUAAAGGAGCGUGAUGAUGACCAGACUCAGCAGGCCCCGUGGGACCGGGCAUCCAACUGCCUUCACAGUUGGUGGCAGCUUCAGAAACGUUGUUCCCUGAAUCCACAUGCAUCCAUUUUCCAGGGCACAAAACCAGCCUGGGAAGGUCCCCAUGACACCACCAACAGGCGUUAUUACCACCUGGAGGACCCCUGACUACACUGUUGUUGCCCAACCUUUUGAACCAUAUGGCCUCCUGUGUAAAUAUAAAAAUACGUUAAGCAUCAGGAUUCAAACCCAACCAAACCCAACCAAAGGGUUCUGAUUUGAUCUGGAAAAGCAUUUUGCCUGAAUGGUGACAGCAGCAUGAACUGGUGGCAUGCAGCAUGGGAGAGGGCCAUUGAGGCCAUUUUGACGUGAAGGCCACUGUGUCUUUGAGCCACAGGUGACCUCCCCAAGACUGUGACCCGCGUUCCCCUCACCGCCACCAGUGAGAUGACCCU